rnacentral:rRNA from 1 species
UGAGGAAUAUUGCCCAAUGGACGCAAGUCUGAGGCAGCAACGCCGCGUGGAGGAUGAAGGUCUUUGGAUUGUAAACUCCUUUUUUCAGGGAAGAGUGAGGACGGUACCUGAAGAAUAAGUCACGGCUAACUACGUGCCAGCAGCCGCGGUAAUACGUAGGUGGCAAGCGUUAUCCGGAAUUACUGGGCGUAAAGCGCACGCAGGCGGCUCUUUAAGUUUGACGUGAAAGCUCCCGGCUUAACUGGGAGAGGUCGUUGAAAAACUGGAGGGCUUGAGGCAAUGAGAGGGGUGUAGAAUUCCCGGUGUAGUGGUGGAAUGCGUAGAUAUCGGGAGGAAUACCAGUGGCGAAAGCGGCACCCUAGCGUUGUUCUGACGCUCAUGUGCGAAAAGCGUGGGGAGCGAACGGGAUUAGAUACCCCGGUAGUCCACGCUGUAAACGAUGAACACUAGGUGUAGGUGGUGUGAAAGCUAUCUGUGCCGAAGCCAACGCGUUAAGUGUUCCGCCUGGGG